GGAUGUGUCAGAGUUCCUUAAGAAUCUCAAACAGAUUUUGGGCAGUGCUUACACCCAAAUAUAUUGCAGAAUUUGAUUAUGGUGCAGUGUGGAAAGGCCAGCCCUCAAAUGCCCAAGUUUAGAGGGAAACUCAAGGUUACCAAGGCAAGGCUCAUAGGAGGGGAACAUAACAUAGGGUCUAUGAGUUAGUGCAAGUGCAGUGAAAGGGGAAGAGGCAUGCUGGUUGUCAUGCCUAGCAAUUUGGGGUGCUGGCACACCCCUAACUAGUUUGUCAGUUCAAAUUGAGGUGUUAACACCUGUUAAAGGUCAGGUUCAACCUUAGACAACAAUUUGGAUACUGCUACGCUAUACCAUUACUCAACACACAUAGGGGAAUGGGGUAUAGGGGAGCUCAAAGAGACCAGAGCAGGCUGUGGACAUGUCCAAAAUGGGGAAUUCUAACAUGCCCACAAUCCUAUUACACUAUUAGAGGCUAGGAUUCAGAAGAUCUGGUUUUAAUAUAUGGGAAAUAACUUGUAUAUUGCCAUGUUUUAAACCAUAGCUCGAACACAUAAAAGGGUAGGAAGUAGGAAUACAUUGAAGAAACAGAUAGAAAUAAAUAAGCAUACUACUUUAAAUGUUGAACUCUCCAGAACAGAAAAAGUAGACAUGGAUGUAAAUGCUUGUAAGCAAACACAUUGGAGUGAUGCGGAAAUAAAAAUUAGGACAUAACAGUUCCAGGGAAAUAAAUAAAUGAAAGCAGGAGUCUUGUAAGCCAAGUUUUCGAGCAAGUAAUACAAAAUAUCUUAGAAGAGAGUAGGGAAUUGAAAGAGUAAUGUAAUCGAGAGAGUGUGUGUAAGAGUAUUCAAUCCGAGGUGUGUCUUGUGAAAAAGGGUUGUGUAUUUAUAGUGUUCCAUGAGAAACUAAGGUAAUAAAAUAAUAGAAGGCUUCUUGUCAUAAGACUCCCUCUAAUUAAGGGAUUCAAAUUCAAAUGGGUAAAACAAUUAAGUGAAGGGAUUUUGAAAGAAUAUUUUCCCAGCAAUAUAGUAAAGGGUAAGUGCAUAAAAGAUAUUUAAGGAAUCAAACCAAUAGUAUACGGUUUUGUAAAAAUAAGGAAAGGGAAUCAAUCAGUAAAACUAAAAUUACAUGCUUACUCGAAUGAAUCAGGUCGAGAAAAAGGGUAAAGAAAGGUUCACGUAGGAAAAAUCAGGAAUAAUAAAAUAAACACAAUCAAAGGGAUUCAGAAUCAAUUAGUAGUUGGAAAAACCUCUUGAAAGAAGAAUUCUCAUAUAUAAGGUACACAAACAUUUUAGUCAAGAAGAGACUAUCGAGUUAUGUAAGAGAGAGUAGUUUAGGAUGAUAAAGACUCAAAAAUCAUGAGCAAAGAGAUCCAG
rnacentral:lncRNA from 1 species